rnacentral:rRNA from 1 species
UACGUAGGUGGCAAGCGUUGUCCGGAUUUACUGGGCGUAAAGGGCGUGCAGGCGGUUUGUUAAGUGCAGGGUGAAAGCUCCCGGCUCAACUGGGAGAGGUCCUUGCAUACUGGCAAACUCGAGGGAGGCAGAGGAAAGUGGAAUUCCCGGUGUAGCGGUGAAAUGCGUAGAUAUCAGGAGGAACACCUGCGGUGUAGACGGCUUACUGGACCAUCACUGACGCUGAGGCACGAAAGCGUGGGUAGCAAACAGG